GAUCAUGGCUCAGGAUGAACGCUGGCGGCAUGCCUAAUACAUGCAAGUCGAACGAGAGGAAGGAAAGCUUGCUUUUCUGAAUCUAGUGGCGAACGGGUGAGUAACGCGUAUGCAACCUGCCCGAUACCGGGGUAUAGCCCAUGGAAACGUGGAUUAACACCCCAUAGUACUUUUAUCCUGCAUGGGAUGUGAGUUAAAUGUUCAAGGUAUCGGAUGGGCAUGCGUCCUAUUAGUUAGUUGGG
rnacentral:rRNA from 1 species